rnacentral:rRNA from 2 species
UUUAAUUGAAGAGUUUGAUCAUGGCUCAGAUUGAACGCUGGCGGCAGGCCUAACACAUGCAAGUCGAGCGGUAACAGGGGAAGCUUGCUUC